GAUUUGCGCAAACUUGAUCUCUUUCAGUCAAAGAAAGUUACUGUACCCAGAAUACAAAAAAAUAAGCUUUCGGAAAGUUUUAGUACUAAAUUAUUAGUACCAACUGAAACCUGUGAUAUGCGAUUUAUCUCUAAGUCGUUUGCCCGACGUUUCUAAUUACGUCAAGCAAUUACAUGUCAUGUUACUAAAUUCAAUCUAUUAUUUAUCGUUCUUUAUUUAUUUCUAUAAUUAGUUUUUCAUAAUUGCUUGAGUAUGAUUGAACUGAAGGAUAUGUCUUAAUUUUCUAUUAACAUGGAAAUAUUUCAUUUCUAAUCUUAUUCCUCCUAUAACAGGAGAUGCAAAAGAGUUUACACGACUUCGGCAUAUUUUUGUACGUCCACUAAAAAAAAUGUUUGCUAUAAUUUCUUCCCAACUACCUUUCGUAUUAAAAUCAUACAUGUGGAAAACUAAAUGCAAUACUCAUUUGGUUAUACAUGAGAUAUGCAUUAAGUUUGUCAAAAAAUACAAACAAUGUUUCCACAACAAGGUUUGUUCAGGACUUGUGCGCAAUGUUGUGGGCAGGUUGUACGAAGGCUGGAUAGCGCUAUCCACCGGAAAGUGAUUAUUUCAACCUUUGAAAAAAUGCUUGAAAAACUAUACAGACGACACAAGAAGUAUAAAAAACAUUUAACGUAUAAAUACUACACUUUAAUACGAGUUAUACCAAUCAACGACUGAUUUAAGAAAGCUUGAAAAAAUCACUAUAUAUGGCGGUUCUCGCUAUCCGGCCUUCGUACAACCGACCCCUGGAACCAACGUUUCCAGGUUUG